AUUGAACGCUGGCGGCAGGCCUAACACAUGCAAGUCGAGCGGCAGCACGGGUACUUGUACCUGGUGGCGAGCGGCGGACGGGUGAGUAAUGCCUAGGAAUCUGCCUGGUAGUGGGGGAUAACGUUCGGAAACGAACGCUAAUACCGCAUACGUCCGACGGGAGAAAGCAGGGGACCUUCGGGCCUUGCGCUAUCAGAUGAGCCUAGGUCGGAUUAGCUAGUUGGUGAGGUAAUGGCUCACCAAGGCGACGAUCCGUAACUGGUCUGAGAGGGUGAGCAGUCACACUGGAACUGAGACACGGUCCAGACUCCUACGGGAGGCAGCAGUGGGGAAUAUUGGACAAUGGGCGAAAGCCUGAUCCAGCCAUGCCGCGUGUGUGAAGAAGGUCUUCGGAUUGUAAAGCACUUUAAGUUGGGAGGAAGGGCAGUUACCUAAUACGUAAUUGUUUUGACGUUACCGACAGAAUAAGCACCGGCUAACUCUGUACAGCCGCCGCCGUAAAAC
rnacentral:rRNA from 1 species